UCUACUAUCUCGACACACUUAUUGUGGAAUAGAAGUAUAAUUUGAUGGACUGGGACAUCACCCUGAUUUUCUAAUUGCCCGUAUUAAAACUCUCAUAUUUUCAUGUCCAGUGAUGAUCAGAAGCUGCUCGAUAAAAUGCCCCUUUGGUUUCAAGUUUCUUUAUUGUCAUUGAUUGCUGUUGACGAAAUGAUAUUUGAGAAACAUAACCUAUGGUAAUAUUUUCAUUCAGCUCCAGACAUUUGAUACCCACCAUCUAAUUUUAAAUUUUAUUCUUGACGAUUAUUGUAAUGAACUACUCCCUUUGAUCCCUUUUAAUUGACUUGGAUUUAGUACAACUUCUUUUUAAUUGACUCAGAUUUAGUGGGAUCAGACGGAGUAGAAAAUUCAUAAUUAAAAAGUAUAUAGAGUCUGUAUGUAGAAUGUUAUCUCCACUUAUACAUGAACCUUCCUGGCUUAGAGUCGGGAAACUUUUAUAUGAUCUAACCCAUGGUUUGAUGACUAUAAUUUGAGAAAUUUCAUUUGGCAUUGCAUAAUGUUCAUUGCUACUAAAGCAACUAAAUUUAACAUUUAAAAUUGCAGAGAAGAAAUUAUUUCAUUUAUAUCUAUGUACUACGGAUAGUCUAGGUGGAGCAUAUUUUCUAUUCACAAAUAAGAAUAGUGAAGUAAGCCUUUGUCACGACUUAAGUUAGUACCAUCAACUAGAGUGCUGGUGAUGGACAAACCAAGUACAAAACUGGGUUUGUGAUGAUUGCCAUCUUUGUUUAUUUUGGUACUUCUCGUAGGAACUUGUCAACAGAGUUUUCUUGUAAUUAUCUUUCUCUUAUUUCAGGUGGAGUAACUAACGUACAUGUGAGUACUGAUGGACAGGGAGAACAAUUCUUGCUAAGAAUUACCAACACUAUGGUGCUUUGGUGUUGGCUCUUAUGAUGAUUGGCGGAGGAAUCAAGUCUGUUUUUGGUUUCAUCGUAGACAUUCUUAUUCUGGCAUUCUGGAUUAGUUAUUAUGAAGUUCUCAAUGUUUUUGCCAUGAGGUGGCCAUAUGAUGUUGUUGCAAACGACUAGUUGUUGUUUGUGUCUCACUAAUGUAAACGUAAUUUUCAGUAA